CCUCCACCCGACUUCGGUGUGUUGGCGAGCACAGAAUAACGUGUCUUUUGAUUGCUGCCAACGAGGUUAAAACGGACGCGUGGCACGCAGACAGCCGCAUAUCUGACGGUCUGGGGGCGGUUGGAAGAAACGGUAUCAAGUUGUGCCGGAGACCAGGAACAGACUUUGUCCACAAAGUCGUCGAAGGCAGGUAAAUUCCAGCUGUUUGAGGAAGUCGCACAGGACAAGAGUGAGAGAUGGAGAGAUUGAAGGGACGGGACAUGGCGGCGCAGCGCGUUCUCAAGCAGCGGAUGGACGCCCUCGAGCGGCAGAAGAUGUCCAGCACCUCGGCGCAUGACCAGGACAUUCGCGACCUCAAGCGGGACCUGGAGACCAUGCAGCGACGCCGCUCCUCCAGCCUGCAAGUCAGUCAGAAGCCUCUUGUGUCUGGGGAAAGACGCAUUUCCCUAACCUCUUCACCUCACACUAACGAUGUCGGUGCAGCACCGAAGAACAAAGAAGGGGAGUAAAAUACCAAAGGUCACAUUCCAUAAGCACCAGACACGACGAAGAGAGCGACCUGCUGCAGCAGAUGGCCAAGGCACUUCACACGGCCAGCACAGAGAACGAACUUCCACGACCUGGUCUGGGGGACUCGAGCAAACUGCGCGUCCUCCUCAACACAGCGCAGUCGGAGCUGGAGGUGAGGUCAGCGGAAGGAUCAACGUCUGCAGCGGGUAAAGGUUACGAGAUAGAAGGUCACCCUAUGGGCACAGUGAGUGAAGGUUCCAGGCCUGACGAGAGACAUCGGAGAGACUCGACUGUCUCUGCCGAGAGGGAAGGCGAAGGCGACGAGGUCUGGAGCGAAGUCCGCAAGUGCCGCUACAUUCGAGGCUACGACCCACCCGAGAUGCGCAUGCCUAAAGACAUUAUCGGGUUUGUGUUCGCAGAGAACCAGGCGCUGGUCGGCGAAGAAGACCCAGAAACGACCGCGGCAACAAAGUAGACUCGUGUGCUCCCUCCAAACCACCGUUUACAUUUGCCUUCUCAAACCCUCUUCAGCCUUCAUUUGGAAAGGAUUCGUUGUUGCCCCCAGCUUUCCGAUGAGCCCAUGUGUGAGAACUGCUCACCCCAGCAUUCAGUAUUAGACAACAACAGGACAGGCUGUGUUUUACAAAUAUUCCAUUCAUCGUUUUUAGGACGGUCACUCACAGUCAUUAAAUAGAGCAUAUCGUCACCAGAGACACUGAAAGAAGGACUGCCAUCUUGUGAACAGAUAACUUACUACGCGCAUGCUCUGGAUCCUAUGCACUCGCCGUUUCCGCUCGUUCGUACACAGUUGUGUUUUGUCUUGUUUUUCACUUUGCUAGGGAAAAAAAUCCGAGUUGUUUUGCACACAAAGAUCGACACAGAUAAAAUUAUCUGCACAAUAUCGAAGUGCCUAUGAUUGUUCCUUGCAGAGCAAACAGAUUACAUGUAAACGCAAACACAGGUUUAUUGGUCUAAAUGUCUUCCUCUUCAAACAAUGUCCUUCCCAUACCUCUUUACAAUCAAAGUUACAAAGUGUACAAAAGCAGAAGCUCAGAACAUCAUCGCAAAAUGGCGGGGGAGAGGAUUAACAAACUGAGUUUUUCCCGUUUGUUUUUCUUUCCCAACUGUGACGGUGGUGGUGGAGGUGGGGGAGCGAGUUCCAACACCAAACAGUUUUCGGCGCCAGGGUUGCAAUACGUUGCUGGUCACAAUGGCUAAAAAUACUUGCUCAAUUUGUGAAAAACAAUUUACAGGAGACAUGAAUUAAAGGACUGAACCAACAA